GUCCGCAAGACUCUCAGUUUGAAGGAAUCUUCUAAGGAUGAGACUUCCACAUCCAGUCGCUACUUCUCUGACCUCAGGAGGAAGAGGGCAACUUUUCCAGUCCAUGAGACUAUAAAGACCUCAUCAAGGAGGAAUGGUCCAGAUUGGACAGAAAAUCCUCUGCAAAAGGAAGAUUUUCCAGACUGUAUCCUUUUGAGGAUGCUGAUGCUGAAG